GAGAUGUUAAAGACAAGAAGUCCAAAUCUAAACACAAACGAGCCACAUCAGGUAAUCAGUAUAAUUUCUUUUCAUGCUCUCUUGCAUAUAAACUACUAUAUUGAGAUUAUACAGAUUACAAAUAAAUUAGUUGAUCCAAGGGUGUGGCUUCAAGUCAGACCUCAAGUAGUUGAUCCAUCUCAAUCUGCAACUUUUCCCACAUCUAAGUAGUCCUUCAAGCGAUCAAAAUGGACACAAAAAAGAUAGCAGUAUCAUGUACACGGGUACCUGCGUUCUUUGGUAGUGACCUCCAGGAACCUUCUCCGUUGGCUUGAAUGUACUUGGUCAAGAUUUCAUCUCUUCAGCAGUCCACCUCCCUCUCUUUAUGCCCACUUUCUCACAGCAAGGGGCUCUUCCCAUUAUUCUUCAGGUUUCAGAUCAAAUUAGAGAUGCUGAGCUGCCGUUCUAAUUGCUCGUUUCUGAAAUUUUUUUUGUAGAAAAAUGAGUUUUCAAACGGGGCCUGCGUUUUAAAGGAGGAGGUGGAAGAGCCUCGCAACAAACUUUGUCGCCUAGCGUAGCUGGUUUACUUUCAAAGACUUUUUAUGCAUGUUUUUAUUGUACACUCUCAAGUCUCAAAAGUUGAGGUACUGGAUUUAUCAAUGUAUAGAGUACAGACCUUUCUGUUCCA